rnacentral:rRNA from 1 species
GAGUUUGAUCCUGGCUCAGGAUGAACGCUGGCGGCGUGCUUAACACAUGCAAGUCGAACGGAACUGUUUAGAUGAAGUUUUCGGAUGGAUUUUAAACAGUUUAGUGGCGGACGGGUGAGUAACGCGUGGGUAACCUGCCUCACACUGGGGGAUAACAGUUAGAAAUAGCUGCUAAUACCGCAUAAGCGCACAGUUCCGCAUGGGACAGUGUGAAAAACUCCGGUGGUGUGAGAUGGACCCGCGUCUGAUUAGCCAGUUGGCGGGGUAACGGCCCACCAAAGCGACGAUCAGUAGCCGGCCUGAGAGGGUGAACGGCCACAUUGGGACUGAGACACGGCCCAAACUCCUACGGGAGGCAGCAGUGGGGAAUAUUGCACAAUGGGGGAAACCCUGAUGCAGCGACGCCGCGUGAGUGAAGAAGUAUUUCGGUAUGUAAAGCUCUAUCAGCAGGGAAGAAAGUGACGGUACCUGAAUAAGAAGCCCCGGCUAACUACGUGCCAGCAGCCGCGGUAAUACGUAGGGGGCAAGCGUUAUCCGGAUUUACUGGGUGUAAAGGGAGUGUAGACGGCAAGGCAAGUCUGAAGUGAAAGCCCGGUGCUUAACGCCGGGACUGCUUUGGAAACUGUUUAGCUGGAGUGCCGGAGAGGUAAGCGGAAUUCCUAGUGUAGCGGUGAAAUGCGUAGAUAUUAGGAAGAACACCAGUGGCGAAGGCGGCUUACUGGACGGUAACUGACGUUGAGGCUCGAAAGCGUGGGGAGCAAACAGGAUUAGAUACCCUGGUAGUCCACGCCGUAAACGAUGA